rnacentral:misc_RNA from 1 species
UACGUAGGUGGCAAGCGUUAAUUGGAAUUACUGGGCGUAAAGCGCGCGUAGGCGGUUUGAUCAGUUGGAUGUGAAAGCCCAGGGCUCAACCUUGGAACUGCAUUCAAUACUGUCAGGCUAGAGUACGGGAGAGGGGGGUAGAAUUCCACGUGUAGCGGUGAAAUGCGUAGAGAUGUGGAGGAAUACCGGUGGCGAAGGCGGCCCCCUGGAUCGAUACUGACGCUGAGGUGCGAAAGCGUGGGGAGCAAACAGG